UACGGAGGGGGCAAGCGUUAUUCGGAAUUACUGGGUGUAAAGGGCGCGUAGGAGGGAGAUUAAGUCAGAUGUGAAAUUUUGAGGCUCAACCUCAAAACUGCAUCUGAUACUGAUAGUCUUGAGUGCAGUAGAGGAAAGCGGAAUUCCCAGUGUAGCAGUGAAAUGCGUAGAGAUUGGGAGGAACACCAGUGGCGAAGGCGGCCUUCUGGGCUGUAACUGACGAUGAGGUGCGAAAGCGUGGGGAGCAAACAGG
rnacentral:rRNA from 1 species